UGUGUUUGAAAUGUGCGUUUGUGCAAAUUGUGGCAAUAAUUUAUUAAACAGUUACGAGGCGGCCAAAAUUGUAAUGACUUUCUUUAAUGGUUGUUACCAUAAUUUUCUGUACGGUUGUUCAUGCUUUGCAUUUGGUUGCGAAUCAGCACCACAUUUUGUCUCGCAGUUUGUGGAUUACUUUAAUCUGCCUUCUAUGGCUUCACAGAGUUAAACCAAAUUCUCUGACUCCCUGACUCUCUGCCGGUUUGUCUGUCUAUGCCAUUUGCUGGCCUGAUGUUAUGACAGUGCCAGGAGUUGUAGCACAGAUGUACAACACAUUAUUGGUUAUUGGAAGCAAGGAAUGAACGAACGAACGGACGAAUGACCGACGAUGAAACGAAGAAAAAAAUCUGGAAUCUAGCCUAGAAUUUUCGUCAUGCUGGUUUCAAAAUUUGUAACACAUUUCAAUGUUGAGCCAACGUGAAUGACGGUAAAAAUGUUUCACAGCACAGCAAGAGAACAUCAAUUCUCAUUUGUUCGAAUAUGUAGUGUGUUUCGACUAGUUGUGAUUUUCGUACACACACACACACACACACAUACGUAUAUUAUGGUCAACAUUAAGAUUUACAGCCUGUUCCACGAUGUCGAAAGAACACGUUCGCACAACUUUUACACGACAAACAGCUGAUUUCCGUUCCACUAAAAUCCAUCAGAACGAAAAUUUGCACGAAAAUCAAAGCGAACGAAAACGUAAGCGUUUCAGUGUAAUUUUGCGUUCCACUAUCUUUUUUCUUUCGUACGCAUGCGAACACAAAUGUCAAAAUCAGUCACUUGUGUGUUUGCUGUCGAAUGAUAAAAAUUAAGGAAAAUUGUUUUAACAUAAACAUUUCUUGAUUGAAAAUGGAAAGAAAAAUCACGAAAAAACUACACAGCUGUGGGCAAUAGUUGAGUAUAUGGGGGAGAAUCCUAAGUUCGCCAGAGGAGUGCCAAUUUUUGGAAGCAGCAGGCAAUCCCAUGAAGACCACUGGAAGACACAAACCUAGAAAAAAUCAUUUUUUUAUUUUAAAAAUGUAAAAAUACAAUCAUACUUACUGGUUGUUAGGUACUUCAAAUAAAUUCGAAGCAUCUCUUAAAUGCCUCCGUGGCACAAUUUGAA